UAUACCGUGAAACUGCGAAUGGCUCAUUAAAUCAGUUAUCGUUUAUUUGAUAGUACCUUACUACUUGGAUACCUGUGGUAAUUCUAGAGCUAAUACAUGCUAAAAACCCCGACUUCGGAAGGGGUGUAUUUAUUAGAUAAAAAACCAAUGCCCUUCGGGGCUCCUUGGUGAUUCAUAAUAACUUCUCAGAUCGCAUGGCCUUGCGCCGGCGACGGUUCAUUCAAAUUUCUGCCCUAUCAACUUUCGAUGGUAAGGUAUUGGCUUACCAUGGUUUCUACGGGUAACGGGGAAUUAGGGUUCGAUUCCGGAGAGUUAGCCUGAGAAACGGCUAACACAUCCAAGGAAGGCAGCAGGCGCGCAAAUUACCCAAUCCUGAUACAGGGAGGUAGUGACAAUAAAUACUGAUACAGGGCUCUUUUGGGUCUUGUAAUCGGAAUGAGUACAAUUUAAACCUCUUAACGAGGAACAAUUGGAGGGCAAGUCUGGUGCCAGCAGCCGCGGUAAUUCCAGCUCCAAUAGCGUAUAUUAAAGUUGUUGCAGUUAAAAAGCUCGUAGUUGAACCUUUGGCCUGGCUGGCAGGUCCGCCUCACCGCGUGCACUUGUCCGGCCGGGCCUUUUCUUCUGGAGAACCGCAUGCCCUUCACUGGGUGUGUUGGGGACCAGGACUUUUACUUUGAAAAAAUUAGAGUGUUCAAAGCAGGCCUUUGCUCGAAUAUUACAGCAUGGAAUAAUAAAAUAGGACGUGCGGUUCUAUUUUGUUGGUUUCUAGGACCGCCGUAAUGAUUAAUAGGGACAGUCGGGGGCAUCAGUAUUCAAUUGUCAGAGGUGAAAUUCUUGGAUUUAUUGAAGACUAACUACUGCGAAAGCAUUUGCCAAGGAUGUUUUCAUUAAUCAGUGAACGAAAGUUAGGGGAUCGAAGACGAUCAGAUACCGUCGUAGUCUUAACCAUAAACUAUGCCGACUAGGGAUCGGGCGGUGUUAUUAUUUUGACUCGCUCGGCACCUUACGAGAA
rnacentral:rRNA from 1 species